GAGCUGACUGUUUUGGUUCCGAAGUUCAUAGUUACGUGAAAAACCUUGGAAAGCAGAAAUCAAGUGAGUCACAAAAUAUAGAUGCUAAGAAAGUGGAACUGGAACAAUUGCUAAUGAUAGAGACAAAAAAUUAUAGAAAGACCAUAAAGUUCUAUCAGAAGCUAUUGCAGAAAGAAAGAAGAAACAAAGGUUCUGAAAUCAAAUCGAUGUUGCCCAAACUGAAAGGACAGCUACAGGAAAUGAAAUCAAAGGUGCAGUUUCUUGAACUGGUGA